rnacentral:misc_RNA from 1 species
CAGUUCUAUGAACAUCAGGAGAGGUUCUAUAAUAAUGAAACACACAACUUAUCAAAAGCUUCUGUCGUAAAAGAAAUGGUGAAAUUUGCCACGGAAGCAGUUGGGAACUCUUAUUAUUCUGCAAUUGAAUCUGGUUUUAAUGACAGAAAAACUGAUCUUAAAACAAGGGUUUCCUUCAAGUAUAGUACUUCUAGAGGAGUAUUUGACACUCCUACUUUUUAUGUCAAUGGAUUUGCAUUGCCUGA